UGGGGAAUAUUGCACAAUGGGCGAAAGCCUGAUGCAGCAACGCCGCGUGAGUGAUGAAGGCCUUCGGGUUGUAAAGCUCUGUCUUCUGGGACGAUAAUGACGGUACCAGAGGAGGAAGCCACGGCUAACUACGUGCCAGCAGCCGCGGUAAUACGUAGGUGGCAAGCGUUGUCCGGAUUUACUGGGCGUAAAGGAUGCGUAGGCGGAUACUUAAGUCAGAUGUGAAAAUCCCGGGCUUAACUUGGGAACUGCAUUUGAAACUGGGUAUCUAGAGUGCGGGAGAGGAAAGUGGAAUUCCUAGUGUAGCGGUGAAAUGCGUAGAGAUUAGGAAGAACACCAGUGGCGAAGGCGACUUUCUGGACCGUAACUGACGCUGAGGCAUGAGAGCGUGGGGAGCAAACA
rnacentral:rRNA from 1 species